ensembl:lncRNA
CAACAAACAGAUCUCCUCAAGGUAAGUCUGUUGGCUGUGUUUUAAUGAAGACCAUCGCUGGACUUCAGGAUCUUCCUCCGUUCAGCUCAAGGUAAGGCGCUGGUUCUGUUUUUCUUUGGUUGGUUCCGGCCGGAAUGUUCGUAUUCCAGUCGGACGGUUUGUGCUUCCCGCCGGGAAGGUUCUGAGUGCGGUCACUUGAUUUAGUCCCAAUGGUUGGCAUAGAACGUUGUAGUCUUGACAACCAUAAGAAACCACCUGGCAGUUAGUUGGGCGGGAGUCCCCUGAGGGAAUCUGGCGGAACGUUCUGGAUUGUAUUUGCGUAACCUCGAGCCAUUGCCAACGGAAAAAAAUUUUUCAGUCGGUUUCCAUUGGGGAUUUGUUGCCCCUAUCUUAAACAACUUAAGUUUGAUAUUAAUUACAUACUGACACGUACGUCGUACAAUAUGUUGAUAAUUUCCGAUGGUUGCGUCGUACUUUUAACCACGAUGACGUUGCGGGACUCUCACUGCGUACAAAACAGCGUUCUACUUGCGGGCCCAUUUCUGACCAUCGGCGAAGGCUGAAAAUCAUUUCAAGGUGGAAGAUAAUUUGACAUUUCUUCAACGGAACCCAGCACCUGAAUAUGGCUGAGUAUAUUUGAUUUAAUAUCGAUACUGCUUAGUGUUCUUUGUUACUUCAGCUUUUGUACGUUCUAAAUAUCUGCUGUCAUUGAUUGCCACAGAAGUUAAACCCUACCCAUUGGAAUGACGUUAAACAACGACUUUGGUGCAGAGUUACCAACUGGAUAAUAUAAAAGCUAAAAUAAUGGCCGUCAUUCCCACAUGUUACAGUAGAAGAUACUCUAGAACUGUACAAGGUUAAAAAGGUAACAUGUAGUUGGUCCCAAGGUGUCUGCCUCCUCACCCAGAGCAAGACCUCCACCUCCUCACCCAGAGCCAGACCUCCACCUCCUCACCCAGAGCCAGACCUCCACCUCCUCACCCAGAGCCAGACCUCCACCUCCUGUCAGAAGUCCUCCAGAACAGCUGAAAGGCGAGGCUGGGGACCGGAGGCUUGUGGUGCCAGGGUGGACCGGAGACUGAGGCUGGAGACCAGGGGCCUGCAGCACCGGACCAGAGGGUAACCAUCACCAAGCUCAUCUGAAACACUAAAAUCCACGAACGUGUUUCUGGAAAGGAGGCAAGCUGGUAGGGGAGCCGUGAAUCUGGAAGAUGACCAUCACUCUACCAACAAGGAUUACUUUAGGGCCAGACUCGUGCUGUUUGUUCCAGACCAGGACUCUGGCUGAGGAGAGCUGAUGGAGGAGCCAAGACUCGAGCCAAGAGGACUACAUCAC